UACGUAGGGGGCAAGCGUUAUCCGGAUUUACUGGGUGUAAAGGGAGCGUAGACGGCCAGACAAGUCUGAAGUGAAAAUCCAGCGCUUAACGUUGGAAGUGCUUUGGAAACUGCCGGGCUAGAGUGCAGGAGGGGCAGGCGGAAUUCCUAGUGUAGCGGUGAAAUGCGUAGAUAUUAGGAGGGACACCAGUGGCGAAGGCGGCCUGCUGGACUGCAACUGACGUUGAGGCUCGAAGGCGUGGGGAGCAGACAGG
rnacentral:rRNA from 1 species